AGAGUUUGAUCCUGGCUCAGAAUGAACGUUGGCGGCGUGGAUUAGGCAUGCAAGUCGAAUGAAUCUCAGGUAGCAAUACCUGGGGGAAAUGGCGAACGGGUGCGUAACACGUGAGCAAUCUGCCUCGAUGUGGGGGAUAGCCGGCCCAACGGCCGGGUAAUACCGCAUACGCUCUCGUGGGGGGGCAUCACUUGGAGAGGAAACUAUUUUUGGCAUUGAGAGGAGCUCGCGGCCUAUCAGCUAGUUGGUGGGGUAAUGGCCUACCAAGGCUUUGACGGGUAGCUGGUCUGAGAGGAUGGCCAGCCACAUUGGGACUGAGAUACGGCCCAGACUCCUACGGGAGGCAGCAGGUGGGGAAUAUUGCGCAAUGGACCGAAAGGCUGACGCAGCGACGCCGCGUGGGGGAUGAAGCAUUUCGGUGUGUAAACCCCUGUUGCCCGGGACGAACAACUGGUUUUGACCAGUCUGACGGUACCGGGUGAGGAAGCACCGGCUAACUCCGUG
rnacentral:rRNA from 1 species